UGAUUGCAGCUCUUGGGAACAACUGAUGAAGCCGAAUAGGAUUUAGCGUGUCAGUUCAUCGUUAGAAGAGAAGUCGGAUUACACAAACUUAAAUCCAGAUUUUAGAAAGUGCCCUUUACAAACCUGACCUGUCCGCCUGGCGAUACGCACAUUUCUGUUUAGCCAUGAACGUGAUGAGGCGGGUGUCAGUGUUUGUAAUGAUACUUACAGGGACUGUAAUACCUGAUAUGGUUCUUAGUCGACCAGCCGUAGGGAAUUCUGACUCAAAAUCAGGUUAUAUUUCAUUUCAAGGAGGAGCUUCCAACACUCCAGAAGAAAAGACAAACCACCAGAUGGCAAACUAUCCAGAGUUGCCAUCAGAAAAUCACCAUCAUCAGUAUUCACACAUGAUGUUCAGUCCAUUUUUACAAGAAGAAAUGAAUGAAAAUUUGAGAAGAGCUAAAACACAACAGAAAUAUGUUGAAAUGACCAACGAAAUUUUAGAACCAUAUAAAUUGUUUCUGGAAAAUCACAAUAAUAAUGCUAGGAGGUUUGAUAACUUUGAGAAUAAUCAUGUUGUUGGACAAAUAUCUAUGAAGGUUUAUCCACCAAAAAAAGUUUUUGAAGUUGAGGCGGAAGAAUAUCUUGAUAAAACAGGUGUGUUGGAGCCAAAAAGAAAAGACAUGGACGAGAUACCUUUUAAUGGAGAAAAGUGGGCUUACCCUUCUCCACAAGUUUCUGAGCUCCAGAAAGAUGAAUUGAAUGUUCCCCAUAAGUUCAAAGAAUAUGACAAACCCCAUGAUUUAUCACAUCAUGGUCCUGGCUACAAAGAAACUAAAGCAAAAUCUCCAGUUAGUGAUAUAUACUUUGUAGCAAUUGUAGCAGGAUGUUGUUCAGUUGCUACUUUUGGAGUAAUUGCUGCUGGAAUUUGCUUUUAUAGGUUUCAGAAGAAAAGUAAGGCAGCACGCAAUGUAGAGUAUCCAGCAUAUGGAGUGACUGGCCCAGGAAAUAAAGAGAAAACGUCUCCUAAUGGUGACCGCAAGCUGGCCCAUAGUGCACAGAUGUAUCAUUACCAGCAUCAGAAACACCAGAUGAUAUCAGUAGAAAAUGUCAACUCUUGUAGACUUGCCUCAGCUUCAGAUAUGGAGUCAGAAGAAGAAAAUGAUGAGGGUGAUUAUACUGUCUAUGAAUGUCCUGGUUUGGCAGUGACUGGAGAGAUGGAGGUUCAGAACCCACUCUUUAUAGAUGAAUCUGGACAAACUGUGUCUCAGCCACCCAAGGAGAACAACAAAUGACCAUCUUAAUAAUAGAUGUGAUGGAGAAAUUUGAGGUGUAAAUACUUCUUAUUACAUAAGUGUUUGAUUUAAGCUAUCUCAUCUUAAAACCUGAUAGAUAGUAAAAUAUUAUGUACAAAAUUAUUUGCUGGUACCAAUUUUAUUAUUGAAUCUUUUGCUAUGUAUUUCUGCCAUUGUUAUUCUUAUGCAUGUAUUGGUAUAUCGUGCUGUGAGUUAUUCCUGCCAUAUAUGUAUAUAUAUCUAUUACUCUGCAUAUGUUUUCCUUUUUUUUCUUAAUUGAACUGAAAAGAGAAAUGUGUAGAGCUUAAAAUCAAUACAAGUUAUACACUUAUAUUUUAUAGUAUCAAAUAAUGUUGUUAGGUAAUUAUUAAUAUUUUGGUCAUUACAAAUGGUAAUACCACUUUUCAAAAAUAUUAUGUUCAAGCUGUUUGAAUUAGCUAUUUUCCUAAUUCACUGUCAUAAGGCUUAAAUUAACUUUUAAUCAGUCACAUAAUCUUUAAACAUGGAAAUAUAUACUCUUAAAAGAAAUAUAUUCUAUCUAAUGAAAACAGGUAUUUUAAUGUGUGUGUAUCUACGUUUUGUGAUUAUAGAAGUAAUUGUUUCUAGCAGUUAACGUGAUAAUUACUCAUAAAAACUAUUGCUUGCUUUGUAUAAAAGUAAUAAGAAUAAUAUAGCACAAAGAACCUUGAAGCAGUAAUUUUUUUUAAAUAGGCCUAGCAUAUUAAUAUCCAUAAAAUGAAAUAAUGUGUAUUAUUGCUAAAAAUUUGAGUACACACCAAAAGUUAGAUUGCUUAUUUCAUGUUUUAAUCAUAGUACUAUUUUAUAUUUGUAUUUUUUUGUAUGCCUUCUUAUUGUUAUAUUGAUACAUUUGUAUAUUUAAUUAGCAAUUUAUUUUGGGGUAUUUUACAAGUAUACUGGCUCCACCUACAUAACUAAAAUUACUGUUUUUAUUCUUUUAAUAGUGUAUGUAGUCUUCUUUGUUUUUAUACACUGUUCAUAAAAUAUUUCUCAAAUAUCUUCAAAAUCUGAAUGCUGCUUAUAAAAAAUGACAUGUAAAUAUUGCUUCUUUUUUUGUAAGUUAUGAAGUUUUCUGUACAUAAAAGACUGCCAGUUCAUAACCAUGUGAGUUUCUAAAAUAUUUUUUGCUAUGUCAAAAAUUAAAAUACAAUUCUAAGAUGAUUGAAAGUAAAGAAGAAUGUAUAACAAUAUAUCAAGGUAAGCGAAUUGAUGAGAAGUAUAUUUUCUUAUAUAUUUCUAAGUUUGAUUGGCAUAUUUAUUAACCAGAGGCUAAUGAUUGAUAGCUAUUAUGAGCAUAAAACAUUUUAACUAAAGCAUGCUAUUUUACCAAACCUAUAAAGUUUUCUUAACCUAAAGUGAAAAUGUUAAAGUACCUCUACAAUUAUAUGUUCAUCAUCUUUGAAAUUAGAAAUCAUUCAUCGUUUCUGUGAUUUAUAAACUGAAUAUAAAUGAAUAUUGAAACAUACUGAAGCAUAGAGUGGAUACAUAAUUUUUUGAUAUUAGGAUAUCACAACUAAAUAUAAAAUUAUUCAGUGUGUAUUUUAACUGUUAUAGUUAGAAGUAACUAUAAGUUCAAGGCGUUUUUUCAGUUAUAUAAUUUUUGAUAUUGCUUACAACUAUCUGUCUAUUAAUAUGUGAUAUUGGAAUAAUGAGGUAAGUCUAUAACUGUGACUAAAUCUUGCAAAUACGUGCACUAAUUUUUUGUUUAAUGUAAAAAUAGAAACAAAAAUGUCUAGUUAUUUAGGCCUAUUCCUAAAAUUAGAAGUUUUGCUGUACACAGUAUUUACAUAAUACAUGAAACUGCUGCAGUAUUGUUGAAAACAUGAAAUCUUACAUCUUGUGCAAUAUAAUUACUGUACAGUUUGUUUGUUUGAAGUUAAGCACAAUGGGCUAUCUGUGCUCUGCCCACCACGGGUAUUGAAAAUACGGUUUCUAGUGUUUUAAGUCUGCAGACAUACCGCUGUGCCACUGGGGGGGCUACUGUACAGGACACCAUAGCUUCCAUACUUUUUAAGUUAUUUUAUACUACAGGGUAUAAGGAGGUAUCAUAACAAACUACUGAUGUUUUUAACUGAAUGUUCAAGGGUUUGUUCCAUUGGAGUGACUCCAUAUUAGAGAAGUAAUGUUGUCUGUAAUUCUGAAUUUAUGAAGUGUUUGCUCAUGAAAUGUGGCAAACUUUUAUUCAACAGUAUAAGUCUGUUUUACAGAAAAAAAAGUUGGAUAUGUUACUAAAGUUUUUGUAUGAAAGAUAUGUGCAUAUGGGAUGUCAAUCAGGUUGACUCAGACUAUGACAAGUCUGAGCCCAAGGUGAUGUUUAUAUGAAGGAAAAUAAUUUCGUCUAUUAUGUAGUUUGCAUAGUUAGGCCUUGUGUAUCUAUGUGCAAAUAUAUAUUUAAAAAAAUAUUGCAUGCUCUGUUAUACAGUACUGAGAUUUCAUGUUCUACAUAUAUAUAUAUAUAUAUAUAAAAAUUUAUAUUGUAUUUACUAUUUAUUUGAACUAUUUGGUUUACACAUAGAAUGGGAAGAGAGAACUGCAAAUAUCUGAAUGAUGUGUAUCUACAUAUUGAACCUCGUACUAUUCAGUUACCUAAAAGAUACAAUGUAGAUCCUACUGAUACACAUACAUGAUGAGACAAAUAUCAAAGAUAAUAAAUACUCCAUAGUGGAUUUGGAACUGUACUAUAUUCAUCCACAUUAUAUUUAGCUUUCAAGUUUAUUUAUGUGCUUGGGUUAUCAUAUUCACAUUUUCUUUUUAACAAAUGUAUAUAUAUCAUCAAUGUCUACUUUCUUACAGAGAUUAUAAGUACAAUUAUAAGUCAUUUCUUUAAAAGUCUAUCCACUUGCAGACAUCUUUUUGAUAAGCUAUUGUUCCUACAGUCUUAAUCAGGAAGGAGAAUGUCAAAUAUUUGUUAUUGUAGUUACAGAACAGUAUCUGUAGUUGCCAUCAAAAUAUUGUGGUUUCUAUAAGAUAAGAAAAAUGCUACAGAAUAGAAUAAAAAAAUACUACCCAGUAAUAAUAAUUUAUGACUGUAAUAUGACAGUGAAGGCCACAUUUGAAUAAUUGUGUUUACUCAUUGUAUAUUACUUUCUUUUUUGAACAUUAAAAUUGUUACAUCCAACCACUUUAUGGUUACUGAAAUAACUUACAUUUAAUCAGUGGUAAGUGCUACAUUAUUGGAAUAGUUAUAUCCAAGCAUUGUAGGUCUCUGCAAGUAUCUUUACUAUUCUGUAAGAUGUAUAAAGGGAAGCUAACCAGGAUAAGUUAUCUUAUAACACAUAUCUACACCAAAACUACUUUAUUAGCAACAUUCAAAGUGGUUGCCAUGGCUUGAAUACUGUGAUGCUAAGUUAAGGAACGUGCAGUUGUUUUUCUAGUGUCAUUGUUUGAGUUGUUACAUCUGUAAGUCAGUGUUGUAAGUUGAAUUAAUAAGGGUACUGGUAAGUGGUUUGCACUGACUAAGCCAUAGGAACAGUGAACAUCAUAAGAACACAUUGCUAAGUUCUUGAUGCAGUUACAAGCAUAUUCAUUCCAUAUAGUUCAAGUUUUUUCAUGUCACAAUUAAAAUAAAUGUAUUUUUCUGUUUAGUGGUAUGAAAGUGAUAAUUGCAUUGAAAAUAGCACUAUCUCUGAAAAUUUUGCAAGCACUAAUAAAAGAUUAAAAAAAUAUUAAUUCAUGAUGUUUUUAUAAUGUUACACUCUGUUGAAAAGAAUCAAUCAUUAGGGAUAAUUAAGAGAAUGAAGAAAAUUUUGAUAAGACCUUCAAUAGUGUGCAAAAAGUAAAAGUAUCAUGAAAUUAAAAUGUAUUAAUGACUAUAUGUAAAUGCUAAGUGAAUAAAUACAUGGUUAUAAACCUCUUGUGAAGAAAUGUGAAAGUAAGUUUUACCUCAGUAGAGAAAUGGUUAUGAACUUUGUGGCAACUCAGGGGAAAAAAAAAAAAGGUUUAUGUAAAAACUGUUGAAUGGUAUUCGUUGUUGUUUAAAUAGAGAUUUUUUUAUUGAAUUUGAAUUAUCAUCUUUCAUUCUAGUAGUUUAUAUAUACAUAUAUAAAUGGUGGUAGAAUUAUUAUGCACAUCUGCGUGUUAUUGUGUGCUGUGUUGUUUUCAACUUGCUCAUAUUUGUUGUGUUUAUUAGAAAUUUUUGAAGCUAUGAUUAUCUUACAAGUUCACAUAAAUAUAUAAAUUAUUAACUUCACUACAUGUAAAAUAUGCUGGGUUCAUUACUUAUAAUAGUUUUAGAAGUACAUACUCUUCAUGUAUUAAGGAAUUUAAGUAGCAAUUUUACCAUAUUGUUUUUUUUAAAUUUGCUGGGAUGAUCUGUUUUCUAAAAGUCUGUCAUGAAAAUACCUGGUACACAUUUUUCUGAGGAUAGGUAUGAAAUGCAAAUCUGUAAAAUAUUUUUUUUGAGACUUAAUAAAGAUUAGCUGUUUAUA
rnacentral:misc_RNA from 1 species